GAGGCGUCGGUGGACCCUCCUUACCAAAAGCCUGAUGUAGGUAAUGUGCAGUGUCCACAACAGAUUGUCUGAUGAAAAAUAAUGAGCAAGCGCACCUGUUGAUGUAAUGAGUCCUGGACUCAUGCUGAUGCGGAACGAUUAAGCCUGAGGUUUAGUCGGAUUUCGUGUCCCCAUCGUCUAGAGGCCUAGGACACUGCCCUUUCACGGCUGUAACAGGGGUUCGAAUCCCCUUGGGGACGCCAUACCGAUAAUGAGUGAAAGACAUUAUCACCGAAUAUCUUAAAGAUGACUUUACCGAGUCGUGUUUAAGAUAUUGCUCUUUAACAAUCUGGAACAAGCUGAAAUUUGAAACGAUGCGGCUAAACAUAUCUCUCCGUGCAGUACUGAGAUGUGAUUUGGCUGUAUCAGAGUCUCUCAAAUAAUCGCAGCGCGAGAUGGCCUAGGAGACUUUCAGAUUGUGAGGGUAAGCGACGAAACGUACCUAGUGGAGGCCUUGGCUGCCCUUGGCAAUGUAUCAAGUCUCUCAAAUAAUCGCAGCGCGAAAGUGACUUGAUGUAUCAAAGACACCUUCGGGUUGUGAGGUUAAGCGACUAAGCGUACACGGUGGAUGCCUUGGCAUCUUCCAUCGUUGCUAUUUUUUACUCGCUCCAUAUUGAUUAAGAUCGUUCCUUAAAGUCAAUCAGCAAAGUCUCUUUCAAAUCUUCGGUGAAUCUGUCUUACAUCCGAGAGGAAGGGGCUUCCUAAGAUAAUUGAACGCUUCCUAAGCGGAUAAAACCCAGUGUCCACGCCUCUAGAGCAGUGGCUAACGCUCUCGAGAAACGUCAGCUAAAUCUACCCACUCCGGAUUACCGAUCCCUCCCUAAAGUCGGGCUCGAUAUACUAUUGAGGGAGACCGUUUGUUACACUGAAUUUCUUUCUGAGCCUGUAUGUACGAAUAGAGCUUCUGCAGUCUCUUGACUACCUUGUUACCCAACGCUCUUUUAAAAAC
rnacentral:tRNA from 1 species